UUAUUUGUUUGACAAGAGUUUCGUAUUUGUGUUCAUAUAGUUCCUGGAUCUGUUUGAUAGGUAGAUCCUCAGAUAUUUUAUAUUGUCUACAGUUAAAUGGAAUUCUUCCAUCUCUUACCGUUGGACUUGAUUAGUGGUAUACAGAAGCAUCCUUCAGCAGUUAUUAGCUGUGUGACCCUGGACAAAUCACUUCAACUUGUUUACCUUAGUUUCCUCAAGUGUAAAAUGAGCUGGAGAGAGAAAUAAAAACCACUCUCGUAUCCUUGCCAAGAAAACCCCAAAUGAGAUCACAAAGAGUUGGGCAUGACUUAAAAUGACUGAACAAAUAUGUGUUAUUCAACACAUAUAAGCCAAGGAGAGAGUGUUAUGGACUGCAAGGUCACAGGAAUGGUGAGUGGAGUUGGAGGGCACUUGGUUUAAGCCCUCACCUUCCACCUUGGAACCCAAAGGCAGAAGAGUAGUAAGGGCUAGGCAAUAGGGGUUAAGUGACUUGCCCAGGGUCACACUGCUAGGAAAUGUCUGAGACCACAUUUGAACCCAGGAUCUCCUAUCACUAGCUUUGGCUCUCAAUCUACUGAGGCACCCAGCUGCCCCUGGCAAUUGAUUGCUACAUUCUUCUAAGAAUGGCAAUGUUGAUUUGGUUACUGUUCUUGUAGUUAGACUUGGGAAGUUGGGUGAAGGGAAGGGACCCCUGCAGCACCCCGGAGGAGGGCUAUGAAUUGGGCUAGUGAUGGAGAACUCUUUCUUUAUUAGGAACUGGAGGCUCUAAGGCUGGUGCAGGGGAUCAAGGUAGAGAGGGUGGUGAGGGUUAGAAAUGAAGAUGAGAGGAGAGCAGCAGGUAUGUUGUCUGGAGAAAGACGGCCAAUCCCAUUGAGACCCAGAGAUAUGAGAAGUGACUUGCCCAAGGUGAACUAAAUAGCAGAGGUGGGUUUUGAACCCAAGUCAUCUCGAUUCCAAAUCCAAGGUUCUUUCCAUUAUACUAGGCUGCUUCCAUCUUGGAUGCUUCCCUCUCCCGGUCUCUUCUCCUAGUUGUCCUUUCCCAGGACACACCUCAGGAUGCUUUGCAUUCUUUCUAAUCUCUUCCUGUAUCAAUGCCUUUUUUCCUGAGCUGGAUCCUUUGCCCAUAGGAGUUUAUGGGGAAGGGAAUGUUCCAUCUCCUUCUUUGGUAUUUCCUCCAGUGUGGGGCCCAUAAUAAGGAGGCACUUAAUAUCCUUGGAGAAAUGUUACUGAGAUGCUGCCAGGCAGUGUGUGAGUCAGAAAGCCUCAGGUUCAAAUUCUGGCUACUUUUUGGGUGGCUUUGGCCAAGGCCUUGCUUCUCUUACACCUUCCACUUUCCUCAUCUGUGAAAUGAGGGGAUUGAACUGGAUUCAUUCCUUCAUUCACAAUCACAUGGAUUAAACUCUACGCUGGGUGCUGCCCUUGAGGGGCUUGCAUUCUCCCAGGGUAACACAUGUUCACAAACAAGGAAUACAAAUGAGUGAGAAGGGAGAAAAUAGCAACAACGGAGGGGGUCACAAGAGGCUUCCUGUAGGAGGUGGCACUAAUGAAUCUUGAAAAUGGAUAAGAUGAGGAGGCUAAAGAAAAAAUAUGUGGGAAGAGAAUGCACUGAAAGCAUAGAGAUGGUACAGGCAAAGGCACAGAGGUGGUACAUGGGAUGCCAAAUACAGGGAGUAGCAAGAAGGCUAUUUUAACUGGAUCAUGAAGCUUAGGAAGGGGAGUAAUAUAAAAUAAUCUAGAAAUGUAAACUAGAACAAGACUGGAUAGAAAUUAAUUAUUUUUUCCUCCAGGCAGUUGGGAGCCACUGAAGAUUAUUGAGCAGAGGAGACAUGUCAGGGUGUGGUUUAGAGAAAUGGAUGGAUUGGAUUGGCGAAGAUGCUGGAGGCAGAGAACAAUUUAGGAGAGAUGUGGUGGAGAAGUGAUAAAGACUUGUAUGUAAGGGUGGAGGAUGAGGAAGGAGGGAGAGGUCAGGAUGACUCUGAAGUUGUGAACUUGGGUGAUUGGAACAAUGCUCGUGACCUCAAAAGAAACAUGGAAGAGCGGAAGGGGGCAAGGUGGAAAAGCUGUUUGACAGAUACAGGACAUCUGAUUAGAAAUAUCCAGUAGGCAAUUGGAGAUGUAGGACCGGGGCUCAAGAGAGAGAUGAAGGCUGGAUGUGUAGAUCCAACACAUUUAAAUAUCCAUCAUUGAGACACUUCUGAUUGUCCUCCCUCCCUCCCUCCUCCCUUCUUCUCUUCCUCUUUCCCUUCUCCCUCUCCCUUCCCCUGCCCCUUCCUUCUAUUCUCUUUCCUUCUUUUCCUUUCCCUUUCCUUCCCUUUCUCUGCCAUUCCCUCCUUUCCCUUCCCUUCCUUUUCCUUCUCUUCCCCUAUUUCCUCUUGAACAGAGGUGGGUCUUGUUUAGGAAAACUGAUCUGGAAGCGUCACGUGUGGUCAAAUUUACUGUGGCCAGUGAAGAGCUUGGAGGCCAUGUGGAGAGCGCCUGGCUGUGGAUGCUGCUGCUGUUUCGUGGAGGUCCUGAGUGGGGCCUGUCUGCUCUUGCUGGUGACUGUCCUUAUCACCCUCCUCAGAUACUUCCUAGAAUUUCCCGUCAUCAUGGAAGGAUUUGGCAUUCUCCAAAGUGCCAACAGCACCUCUGUCCCUGGGGAGUCGUGAGCCACGGUGACUCCAGGCAGGUCUGGACUCAUCCACCAGCAGCCCCUGAGAACUCCGGAGAAGACCCUCAGCUAAAGCCACAACCACAGUAGAGCCAGAUACCCUUGACAGAGGCCCCAGAGCAUUUGGCGAGCCAGCCUUUAGCAACUCUGAGCUCUAUCUGAUUCUCUAGGCCCUUGACCUCCGGCCAUUCCUAAGCGACUUAGAGAAAAAUACUGGGCUAGGAGUUUGAGGACCUGGCAUAGUGGCAAGGGUGCAGGCCCAGAUGCGACCCUUGACUUUGCUAUUCACCAUGUGACCUGGGUAAAAUCACUUCUUCUCCUUGAGCCUCAGUUUCCCACUCUGUCAAAUAAGGACCUUAGUUGGCCUCUAAGGUUCCUAUAAGCUCUGAUUUUCUGUUACCAGGUCCAUGGCAUGAGGGCUAGCCUAAGCAGGCCUGAGGGCCUUUCUGAGGGACCAGGCAGAUAGGCAACAAACGUUUAUUUUUGUAGGCAGACAAAAAUACUGGGGACUGUGCUAAGUGCUGGCUCUGGCUUUUAGGACUAAAGUUCUACCUAUCCUACCAACUCAGCUUGGAUUCUAAUGAUAAAAGGAACCCAGAGCCCUUAGACUAGGGCCAAUGAUGCCCUAGAGAUUCCAGGGACAAGGUAACUAUCAAGAGAAGGGUGGUGGUCAUUGGCCAAGAGUCUUGGCCUUGUGUUGGCUCCAGUGCCAAGUAGCCCCUUGUGCUUUCCAUUAGGGAACCCUAAUGUCCUCCUGGUCCUGAGGUUGGGGAAAUGAGGGGGAGGGGAAGCUGGGCUCCUCAGGGGACUGACAUGCCCAUGACCCGACUUCUUCCUUACAAGCCCUGGUCACGGCCUGGUAACCUC